AUUGAACGCUGGCGGCAGGCCUAACACAUGCAAGUCGAGCGGAUGACGGGAGCUUGCUCCUGGAUUCAGCGGCGGACGGGUGAGUAAUGCCUAGGAAUCUGCCUGGUAGUGGGGGACAACGUUUCGAAAGGAACGCUAAUACCGCAUACGUCCUACGGGAGAAAGCAGGGGACCUUCGGGCCUUGCGCUAUCAGAUGAGCCUAGGUCGGAUUAGCUUGUUGGUGAGGUAAUGGCUCACCAAGGCGACGAUCCGUAACUGGUCUGAGAGGAUGUUCAGUCACACUGGAACGGAGACACGGUCCAGACUCCUACGGGAUGCAGCAGUGGGGAAUAUUGGACAAUGGGCGAAAUCCUGAUCCAGCCAUGCCGCGUGUGUGAAGAAGGUCUUCGGAUUGUAAAGCACUUUAAGUUGGGAGGAAGGGUUGUAGAUUAAUACUCUGCAAUUUUGACGUUACCGACAGAAUAAGCACCGGCUAACUCUGUGCCAGCCGCCGCCGUAA
rnacentral:rRNA from 1 species